CUACGGGGGGCUGCAGUGAGGAAUUUUGCGCAAUGGGGGAAACCCUGACGCAGCAACGCCGCGUGAGUGAAGAAGGCUUUCGGGUCGUAAAGCUCUGUCAGAUAGGAAAAAAAGUUCAUAUGUAAAUAGCUUAUGAAUCUGAUGGUACUAUCAGAGGAAGCACCGGCUAACUCCGUGCCAGCAGCCGCGGUAAUACGGAGGGUGCAAGCGUGGUUCGGAAUUACUGGGCGUAAAGGGCGUGUAGGCGGUAUGGUAAGUCAGAUGUGAAAGCCCUGGGCUUAACUCAGGAAGUGCAGUUGAUACUGCCAUCCUUGAGUAUGGGAGAGGAGAGUAGAAUUCCCAGUGUAGAGGUGAAAUUCGUAGAUAUUGGGAGGAAUACCCGUGGCGAAGGCGACUCUCUGGACCAAUACUGACGCUGAGACGCGAAAGCGUGGGGAGCAAACAGGAUUAGAUACCCGAGUAGUC
rnacentral:rRNA from 1 species